AUGAUUUUCUUCCGGUAUCCUUUCCAAGCCCCUGGGAGUUUAGCAAUUAUGGCUCCCACUUGAAAGGUCUCCAGGAUUUCAAUCUUUACCACUUUUAGUUUGUUGACAAUGACUUGCAAUUCGUGUACUUUGGGAAGAAGCGGGAUAUUAUCAAGGAAUUUUAAAGUCGAAGUAUUUAGAAAUUAGAAACUUCUUGGUACCUUCCUCUUCCAUUUUGUACUUAUUCUCCAAUGCUUCCCAGAUUUCCUUUGCAGAAGUUGUGUUUGU
rnacentral:lncRNA from 1 species